GACGAAGGCGAAGAUGAAGAUGGUAAGGAAGGAGAGCGAGACGAUGAACAGGUAGAAGAAGCGGUAGUUCCUCCGUCCGACGCAGUUUCCCACCCAGGGACAGUGAUGGUCGAAUCUCUCUGACGACAAACACAACAGGUCGGCGGCCUCGUCCGGCGUGGCUCGGGGCAGGACUCCGGGGUCCGUGAAACUCGCCCUGAACAACAUCCCCAUGACGAAGAGGAAGAGGACGCCGCCGACCGCCGGGAUGGCCGGGGUCAGGUUGGACGCCAGGAAGGGACAGCUGCGGAAAACCAGGAGGGAAAAUCAGAACACCUGAGGGCUUUUACCUGACGACAGUGAACACACCACGUCACAGGAGUUUAGAUUCUCAGUGUUAAAGUGAAUCUGACCCCAGGAGGAAAAUAACUGACUCCAGACCAGUGGUUCUACAGCGUCAUGACCCGGAAUAAAAUAAACUAAUGAAACAGGACCCAGGACUCUGGACCAGAACCUCUGACUGAAGAGACGCAAAACAAAAACAAAAAAAAGAAAG